AAAGGGAGACCUAAUUCAGGUAGGAGACGAAAAAAAAGUAGUCCCUACCAAGAAUCAAUCCCAAAAGGUCGGAGCGAGGCGAAAUUGGCUUUCAAACUAGGUUCUGGGUUCAAACAAGACCUGAAUCAGGAACAAGGGCUAUUAGCUCAGGUGGUUAGAGCGCACCCCUGAUAAGGGUGAGGUCCCUGGUUCGAGUCCAGGAUGGCCCACCUGUACAGGUGGCAAAAAGAAAGAAAAGAAGCGAGGAAUCAGCACCUUAUCUUACUUAUAUAGUAAGAGAGAAUGCUGGCUCUGAGUUCAGAGUCCAGAGGAACCUUGAAAACUGCAUAGAGCUAGGUGAAAAGGCCAAAAAAGAAGACCGCAAG
rnacentral:tRNA from 1 species